AUUGAAAUCUCUUCACUUUAUAAUCCUCUGUUUUUCAGAGCUGAUAAUGCUUUUUUUCUUAACCUUAACCUCUCAAGGAAUGCACGAAGGGAAUUUUAAAAAGUGGACUGUUUGGUCGUGACUAACAGUAGCAGUUAAUGCUUUCGGUGGACACGCAAUGGGAAAGGUCACCCAACACGCCGGCAGCGUUAAAAAGGGCUAUUGCGUUGCUGAAGGGAUUCUGUUAACUGCUUUUUUGGAAUGGGUGUUCGGUCAUAGAACUUUUACGCUAAGGCUGGUUCUAGCUUUUAUUCUAGCGCCCGAAGGGGCCUCCUUGAACACUAUUUAUAGCGGGGAUGGCAGCGAAUCACCAAAAAGUUAAUUUUGGGGAGUAAAAA